UAUUACUGAUUUCAAAGCGCUACCUGUAAACCUAAAAUGUAAUAUAGCAAUAUUGUACGUAUUUGUUUUUUAAACAAGCACUAUAUAUACAAAUCAGUCAUUUAAAAGGUAAUAUGUACUGGUGAAUUCCUAGCCCUAGUUUGUGAUAGUUUUAAGUUUUGUCUUGUAGAUAGACAUUUUACUGUGCAUUCAAGAUCUUCUAUAUCUAAAUUAUCACUUUGCACCACUAUUAUUUAUCUACUUACUUUGGACCACUGCACAACCCUCUAUACAAUUAAUUACUUCAGACUACUGCACUACCCUCUAUACAACUACUGCUGAUGACAAGGUACUCCUAUCCUGGUCUAAAAUCUCAUCCAAAAGCAUGUAGAUCUUUUACCGCCCCCAAGUUAGAGG